rnacentral:lncRNA from 1 species
ACCGAUGUCUGGCCAAUCACGUUGAUGUCGUUAUGGUUCUUGAGGUCGGCAGCACCGAUGAAUUCUUCCAUGUAGAAGGAGCACACCCAGGGUUUAUCAUCGGCCGGGUUUCCUUGCCGCUGGGUCAAUGCCUCGGCGCUGUCUCCUGGCUG